ACUUUUUGUCACAAUUUCCUGUUCGAAGAAAGAGUGUUCUAGAUAUGCUAGGGUUCAUGUUCGAAGAACGACUGUUCUAGCUCUGCUAGGAUUGGGGCUGAGAACGCGAGAAGUGGAAGAGGAAGCGUUAGUGUCAUGCUAGCGUAGGCGGUGAUAGGAAGUGACACCCCGUUUCCAUUUCUUCCCAAAGUUCAAUCCUUUUUGAGAAUACACUGAGGAGAAUCCAAAGAUAGUGACAAAAUGCUCUCAUCAUUUUCAUCUUGGUUGCAUAUAUGAGUGGAUGGAAAGAAGUGACAACUGUCCUGUUUGUGGGAAGAUGAUGGUAUUCGAUGAAACGACUUAAUGUUUUGCAAAAGGUUUAUGAUAGGUAUUACAGGGAAAAUCUGGUAUUCGAGGUACCGGGGCCUCCAGGAAGAACGAAAGAAAUUUAGUGAAUACUUUCUAUAUUUUCCUCUCCCAUGUUUUCUUACAAUAUUUAUAUCUCUGCAUAUACUAACAUAACAGUUUCCCGUAUAUCACGGUAAACAUGUAAACAAAAUAAGAAAAGAUGCUAACAGAAAAGAUUCUCGCCCAACAAAAUAAUACUCUCUCUCAGUAUAUGUAUUCAUCCCAAUCUCUCGAUGUGAAUCUAAGGUUGUGAGUUCAAAACCUUGGAGGGAUACAUGUUGCUUAUUUUCUUUUAUGCUUUGUUCGUUUGGGCGGAAUUUAUUGUGUAGAGAGAAUUGCGAGCGAUGAAUUUAGUUAGCAUUCGUGUUCGGAUGAGAGGAAUUGCGAAGAAAGCUGCAGACGGAUUUGCGGGAUGACAUCGUUUUUCAUCAUUCCCAACUUUGAAGGGAUUUGAAGGGAUUGUGAAUAAAAUAUCACGAAUACCCUCAACCUAUUAUACAUUUCCCAGCUUUAACACCACGUCAUCACCUACCCUUUGGAGCGACCGAAAAGCUCAUCACCUAAACACCAUUCCAUUACCAAAUGCACAUUCUACCAAUCCUCGUAAGCACCCAUGAACUCAAUGAUGUUGGGUUGAUCCGAGAGGUGCUGCAGGAUCAGAAUUCCCCUCUUCAUAUCAUCAAUUUGCGUCUUUUUGGUUAGUCUCCACUUUAAAAUGAACUUGCAGCUAGCUUGUGUGUAGAAUAAAGUCAGUACUACUACUCUUUAUUUAUCCUUGAACGUUUAUCCUGACUGUUAUUUUGUCUUAUUAUAUGAAGAAAAUUAUAGUAUGUUAA